AACCAGCUUGAAGGAAUUGUAAAUGAGAUCCUGAACAGGUAUAGACCACACUACGGGAUUAGAAACUUCCCCAUGUUCAGUCUGGCUGUAAACAUCCCAU